rnacentral:rRNA from 1 species
UACGUAGGGAGCAAGCGUUGUCCGGAAUCAUUGGGCGUAAAGCGCGCGUAGGUGGCCUCAUAAGUCCGCUGUGAAAGUCAAAGGCUCAACCUUUGAAAGCCGGUGGAUACUGUGAGGCUAGAGUACGGAAGAGGCGAGUGGAAUUCCUGGUGUAGCGGUGGAAUGCGCAGAUAUCAGGAGGAACACCAAUAGCGAAGGCAGCUCGCUGGGACGUUACUGACACUGAGGGACGAAAGCUAGGGGAGCGAAUGGG